CGCGUGCUCCGGGGUCGGUGCAAUUCCGAGCCGGCGGUGACAGUCCGCGACCCGCGGUCCCAUCACUCGUGAUGAGGCCACGGUUGAGCCGGUGAAAUUCCGGCACCGACGGUGAAAGUCCGGAUGGGAGGAGCACUGU
rnacentral:ncRNA from 2 species